GACGAACGCUGGCGGCGUGCUUAACACAUGCAAGCCGAACGGAAAGGCCCUGCUUUUGUGGGGUGCUCGAGUGGCGAACGGGUGAGUAACACGUGAGUAACCUGCCCUUUACUUUGGGAUAACUUCAGGAAACUGGGGCUAAUACCGGAUAGGAGCUCCUGCUGCAUGGUGGUGGUUGGAAAGUUUCGUCGGUUGGGUAUUGACUCGCGGCUUAUCAGCUUGUUGGUGGGGUAGUGGCUUACCAAGGGUUUGACGGGUAGGCGGCAUGAGAGGGUGAACGGCAAAAGUGGGACUGAGAUACGGACCAGAAUGCAACGGGAGGCAGGAGUGGGGAAUAUUGCACAAUGGGAGGAAGCCGGAUGCAGCAACGCAGCGAGCGGGAUGAAGGCCUUCGGGUUGUAAAACGCUUUAGCCUGUGACGAAGCGUGAGUGACGGUAAUGGGUAAAGAAGCACCGGCUAACUACGUG
rnacentral:rRNA from 1 species